AACUCUGAAUAUGCCAAUCUACUACCCUCUAGAAGACUAUGGAGUCUCUGAUGAGAAAUCAGCUAUUAAUCUUAUCAAGGAUCCUUAAGACCUCUACAAAAGAAUAAAACUCAUGAAGUACCAAUCCUUCUAAUGGGUAAAAAUGCUCAAAAGGGAAAUUUAAAAAUUAAAAGUAAGUCCACUGGUUGAGAUGUUUGUAAGUGUGCAUAGCAGCAAACAGAUGAGGACUAAAGAAAACAGUUAUGGCAAAAGGAAGGAAUUCACCAUGCAGUAGCAUUUGACUAUGAUGACAUAGCUAAAAAACUACACAGAAACAACUUAAAUAUGCCUGCUUGAAAGCAUUCCUAGUACUGAAUAUACAAAUUUAGAAAUCCAUAUUUCUAAAACUCCUUGCUUCAUUUCUAUUAAUAACUAGACAAGCCUGAAAUUACAUUUUCACUAAUGUAUAUUCUUAGAGCUAUGUGACUCUCAAAGGUUUAUCAAUAAUUUUAAAUCAAAUAAAAACAAUUUAUCUGACAUUGUAGUAUGUCUGAAAUGUACUUAAUGAAGCAAGUAUCUAAAGUCCAUCACUGUGCUCUAUAAAGCACAAAAUAAAAGAUAAAACAUCCCUAUUCUCAAAGAGCUUACACCCUUAUGUGGCAGGGGAGGGAGGGCAGUAACAGUCACUUAACCAUUCUGAACUGGUUUCAUUAUCUGGGUAAUUUAUUUUCCUUUUGAGACAGAGUCUAGCUUUGUUGCCCAGGCUGGAGUGCUGUGGUACAAUCUUAGCUCGCUGCAACCUCCACCUCUCAGGUUCAAGUGAUACUCCUGCCUCAUCUUCCUGAGUAGCUGAAAUUACAGGUGCGUGCCACCACGCCCAGUGAAUUUUUGUAUUUUUAGUAGAGACGGGGUUUUACCAUGUUGGCCAGGCUGGUCUCGAGCUCCUGACCUCAAGUGAUCUGCCCGCCUUGGCCUCCUAAAGUGCUGGGAUUACAGGCGUGAGCCACUGCACCCAGCCCUAUCUGGGUAAUUUCUAACAUCCUUUCUAGUGCUGACAUUCUAUGAUUUUACAUAGAUAUAAUAACCAUUUAUUGAGUACCCACUGUGUACAAGGUACUACUAUGCAUUUGUGUACAUUACCCCUAAUUUAAAAAACUUGCACUGCAGGUAUUAUCUCCAUUUUACCUGAAUUCUCCUCUGUAAUUAAAGGCCUUGGUCAAGAUUAUACAACCAGUAAUGAGUAUCACUGAGAUCCAUAAUGUAGCAUAUCACUGUUCAUAGGUGUUACAGGUUUUAACAGAUGUUUAUGUUGUUAUAACUGGAAACCAAUAUUCAGUUGACCCUCUAUCUGAAUACUGAAAAGACUAUCAAGUUUUCUUAUGCAUCUGACAAUUUAUGAUGCUAAGGCUAGAAACUACUUUCAGAACUUUGGUAAGGUAUUUUAAGAAAAAAAUUUCAAAAAGUACUGACAGUACAAAUAUAGAACUAGAAAAAAAUACUUUAGGUACAUGUGAUUUCUAAUUUGUAAGAAAAGCAGGCUAAGGCUAGCCAAAGAACUUCACUGAGGAGACUUAUGUAGUCCAUUGAGAAAAUUCUCAGGACAACCUGGACCUGAUCAUGAAAUCCUUCUCUGGACCAGAUUAAAUCAAAAUAAAAGUGAGUAAAUGAUCCUUUUUGCUUCUUGUUAUUCAACUCUGAAGGAUGUGCAAAUUCUAGACUUUGAAGAAAAUAUGCAGAGUAUCUAAAUAGAGCUUUUGGCUUCCUGUUAUCUAACUCCCUUGCAUGCUAUCAAGGGCUGCAAUGUUGAAUUUUGGUACAAAUAUGAUGAGAAUGAAGAGAAAUAGCUUUAAUUCAAAAUAAGUCACCAAGAUUUUUGCCCUAGAGUUUUUGUCAUUAUAUUCAGAACUUCACUAAGUGGGGUGACAAACAAGGAAAACUUGCUUGUAGGAGACAAGACCCUAUAAAAAUUACCAAGUCUGGUUUCACAGUUGUCAAAUAUAAACGUUUAUUUCUGUAAUAUUAAUUCUUGGAACACCAUGAAAAGUUAGCAGUGUAUAUUGUAAUCCCUAGAGGAACCACUAAAAAAUGAAUGCAAAGGUAUACAGCUAAAGAACCAAAGAUUAAUGGGCUAAAAAACACUCAAUCCAAAAGAAUGCCAAAAAAGGGAAGAAAAAAAAAA